rnacentral:tRNA from 1 species
GAAGGUAUAACUCAAUGGUAGAGUGUGUGCUUAGCAUGCAUGAGGUCCUGGGUUCAAUCCUCAGUACCUCCA